UUACGGCCGUAUCACCUUGCAACACGGGUUCCCGUAUGAUCACCGACUUUAAGCAAUGUCGAGCCUGGUCAGUACUUAAAUGGGUGACCGCUUGAGAAUACCAAUGCUGUA